rnacentral:misc_RNA from 1 species
UCAAACUUGGUCAUUUAGAGGAAGUAAAAGUCGUAACAAGGUUUCCGUAGGUGAACCUGCGGAAGGAUCAUUACCGAGUGAGGGCCCUCUGGGUCCAACCUCCCACCCGUGUUUAUUUUACCUUGUUGCUUCGGCGAGCCUGCCUUUUGGCUGCCGGGGGACGUCUGUCCCCGGGUCCGCGCUCGCCGAAGACACCUUAGAACUCUGUCUGAAGAUUGUAGUCUGAGAUUAAAUAUAAAUUAUUUAAAACUUUCAACAACGGAUCUCUUGGUUCCGGCAUCGAUGAAGAACGCAGC